AGUGAACGCUGGCGGUAGGCCUAACACAUGCAAGUCGAACGGCAGCACAGUAAGAGCUUGCUCUUACGGGUGGCGAGUGGCGGACGGGUGAGGAAUACAUCGGAAUCUACUUUUUCGUGGGGGAUAACGUAGGGAAACUUACGCUAAUACCGCAUACGACCUACGGGUGAAAGCAGGGGAUCUUCGGACCUUGCGCGAUUGCAUGAGCCGAUGUCGGAUUAGCUAGUUGGCGGGGUAAAGGCCCACCAAGGCGACGAUCCGUAGCUGGUCUGAGAGGAUGAUCAGCCACACGGGAACUGAGACACGGUCCAGACUCCUACGGGAGGCAGCAGUGGGGAAUAUUGGACAAUGGGCGCAAGCCUGAUCCAGCCAUACCGCGUGGGUGAAGAAGGCCUUCGGGUUGUAAAGCCCUUUUGUUGGGAAAGAAAAGCAGCAGGUUAAUACCCCGCUGUUCUGACGGUACCCAAAGAAUAAGCACCGGCUAACUUCGUG
rnacentral:rRNA from 1 species